rnacentral:rRNA from 1 species
UUGGAGGGCAAGUCUGGUGCCAGCAGCCGCGGUAAUUCCAGCUCCAAUAGCGUAUAUUAAAGUUGUUGCAGUUAAAAAGCUCGUAGUUGAAUUUCGGGAUCAAUGUUUCGGUCGUGCCGUUGGUAUGUACUGAUAUUAUUGGUUUCUCACCUUCUAAAGAACCGUAAUGCCAUUAAUUUGGUGUCACGGGGAAUUAGGACUGUUACCUUGAAAAAAUUAGAGUGUUUAAAGCAGGCUCACGCUUGAAUACAUUAGCAUGGAAUAAUGAAAUAGGACAUCCGAUUCUAUUUUGUUGGUUUCUAGGAUCGAUGUAAUGAUUAAUAGGGAUAGUUGGGGGCAUUAGUAUUCAAUUGUCAGAGGUGAAAUUCUUGGAUUUAUUGAAGACUAACUACUGCGAAAGCAUUUGCCAAGGAUGUUUUCAUUAAUCAAGAACGAAAGUUAGGGGAUCGAAGACGAUCAGAUACCGUCGUAGUCUUAACCAUAAACUAUGCCGACUAGGGAUCGGAUGAUGUUAAUUUUUUAAUGACUCAUUCGGCGCCUUACGGGAAAC